GACGAACGCUGGCGGCGUGCUUAACACAUGCAAGUCGAACGAAGUGGCGAACGGGUGAGUAACGCGUAAUCAACCUGCUCUUGAAGGGGGGAAAACAGUUGAAAACGACUGCUAAUCCCGAAUACUGAAGGAGGGGAUUGUGUCUGAUUAGCUAGUUGGAGGGGUAACGGCCCACCAAGGCGAUGAUCAGUAGCCGGUCUGGGAGGAUGAACGGCCACAUCGGGACUGAGACACGGCCCAGACUCCUACGGGAGGCAGCAGUGGGGAAUCUUCCGCAAUGGACGUAAGUCUGACGGAGCAACGCCGCGUGAGUGAUGACGGCCUUCGGGUUGUAAAGCUCUGUUAAUCGGGACGCGGUACCGGAAUAGAAAGCCACGGCUAACUACGUGCCAGCAGCCGCGGUAAUAC
rnacentral:rRNA from 1 species